GAUGAACGCUGGCGGCGUGCCUAAUACAUGCAAGUCGAGCGAACAGACGAGGAGCUUGCUCCUCUGACGUUAGCGGCGGACGGGUGAGUAACACGUGGAUAACCUACCUAUAAGACUGGGAUAACUUCGGGAAACCGGAGCUAAUACCGGAUAAUAUAUUGAACCGCAUGGUUCAAUAGUUAAAGACGGUUUUGCUGUCACUUAUAGAUUGAUCCGCGCCGCAUUAGCUAGUUGGUAAGGUAACGGCUUACCAAGGCAACGAUGCGUAGCCGACCUGAGAGGGUGAUCGGCCACACUGGAACUGAGACACGGUCCAGACUCCUACGGGAGGCAGCAGUAGGGAAUCUUCCGCAAAGGGCGAAAGCCUGACGGAGCAACGCCGCGUGAGUGAUGAAGGUCUUCGGAUCGUAAAACGCUGUUAUUAGGGAAGAACAAAUGUGUAAGUAACUAUGCACGUCUUGACGGUACCUAAUCAGAAAGCCACGGCUAACUACGUG
rnacentral:rRNA from 1 species